CAGCCGCCGCGGUAAUACGAAGGGUGCAAGCGUUAAUCGGAAUUACUGGGCGUAAAGCGUGCGUAGGCGGUGAGUUAAGUCUGCUGUGAAAUCCCCGGGCUCAACCUGGGAAUGGCAGUGGAUACUGGCUCGCUAGAGUGUGUCAGAGGAUGGUGGAAUUCCCGGUGUAGCGGUGAAAUGCGUAGAGAUCGGGAGGAACAUCAGUGGCGAAGGCGGCCAUCUGGGACAACACUGACGCUGAGGCACGAAAGCGUGGGGAGCAAACAGGAUUAGAUACCCGAGUAGUCCCUGUCUCUUAUAA
rnacentral:rRNA from 1 species